CUUGUUUCCUUUAUGGACUCGGGCAGCAAGAGCCGGAAUAUAAUGCCCAGCAUAUGACUCUCCAGUAAUGUAAAAGUCGUUUUUUGCCAACUUAGGGUGCUCUGCGAAGAAAGCCUGAGGUAAACAUCAGCAAACAUAAUCAAGAUCUUGUUACAGCUAAGCAAACAUAGGCAGAUUCCCAUUUUUUGAAACUCAAGAAAACGAAAACAGUCUAAGUGUCUAACAGAGGUGUUUAUCCAAUUCAUAGUUUGAAAGCAGAAAAGUGAAGAAGAAAAAGGAAUUGAAGAGAAGAUCCAGUGACCAAACCUGUAGAAAAUCAUAAAGAUCAUUGCUAACUCCAGUUUCGUCGUGACGGAUAUCACUUUUAUCUGUCGUGUAGCUGAAACCAGUUCCAACAGGCUGAUCAACAUAUAGAAGAUUGGAAACCUGCAAGACAAAUUCUCAAUCAACUCUCAUGUGCAAAAAUAGAGAGCAUUAAGGCGGUUUGGGAAAUCGUUAACAAGGAUUAUAAUAGAAAGUAAUUAUACCUGAUCCCAUCCAUACUCAUUCCAAGCAAGAGACAUGUUACUAGUGAUCUUGAAAGGACCGUUCUCAUAGAACAUAGCCAACUCACUGCUGCAUCCAGGCCCUCCCGUCAACCAAAUCACAACAGGAGCAUCCUUCUUGUUGCGUGAUUCGAAGAAGAAGUAGAACAUGCUAACACACACCAAGCGAACAAGUAAAAAACAAAGCAAAUCAACAGUACUUUGAGAUUCUAAUUAGAAAAAACGUCACCAAAAGUUCAAUGUUCAAAUCAAACUAAAACACAACCUAGUCAAGAGCUAGCUGCAAAUUGUAAACGAACCAUAACAAAUCAGAUGCUGAAUCUUCGCGAACACAAAUGUACAGAUGCAUAAACCAAAAUCUAGAGUUAGAUAUAAACCUUGCGCCACGAGAUUUUGGGAGCUUGUAAUAACCAGCAUGAUGACCUAAAUCUUCGACAGUUGCGCCACCAUUAUCGGCAAGUAUAUUCGGGAAUACGAACUUCCGUUCAACAAUCCCCGAUCCCUCCGCGGCAGUGAGAGGCAAAUCAGCGACAUCGAUCACAUUCAGAUCCUGCUGCGGGAAAAGGUUUAGCUCCCGGAUCAGCUUCUCCGCGCGCGUUGACGGCAAGUUUGAUCUCUCAAAGGU
rnacentral:lncRNA from 1 species